rnacentral:rRNA from 1 species
AAUGAACGUUGGCGGCGUGCCUAACACAUGCAAGUCGAGCGAGAAAGUCCCUUCGGGGGCAAGUAUAGCGGCGGACGGGUGAGAAACACGUAAGAAUCUGCCCUUUAGUGAAGAAUACCUUCGAGAAAUCGAAGUUAAUACUGCAUACGUUCCUACGGGAAGAAAGGUGGCUUUAUGCUACUGCUGAAGGAUGAGCUUGCGCGCUAUUAGCUAGUUGGUAGGGUAAAGGCCUACCAAGGCAAUGAUGGCUAACCGGCCUGAGAGGGUGUACGGUCACAUUGGAACUGAGAAACGGUCCAGACUCCUACGGGAGGCAGCAGUGAGGAAUAUUGCGCAAUAGGCGAAAGCCUGACGCAGCGACGCCGCGUGAAGGAUGAAGGUCUUCGGAUUGUAAACUUCUGUUAAGCGGGAAGAAAUCUCGGCUUUAAAUAAAAGCCGAGUCUGACGGUACCGCUAGAGAAAGCACUGGCUAACCUCGUGCCAGCAGCCGCGGUAAUACGAGGGUGACG